UACGGAGGGUGCGAGCGUUGUCCGGAAUCAUUGGGCGUAAAGGGCGCGUAGGUGGCGGCUUAAGCGUGCGGUGAAAGCUCGGGGCUCAACCCCGAGUCGGCCGUGCGAACUGAGUCGCUUGAGCACUGUAGAGGCAGGCGGAAUUCCGGGUGUAGCGGUGGAAUGCGUAGAGAUCCGGAAGAACACCGGUGGCGAAGGCGGCCUGCUGGGCAGUAGCUGACACUG
rnacentral:rRNA from 1 species